CCGGUUGAAAAUUGUCACAACACUUCAUGUGGUAUCUUCUUUCUUUUCGUGUCUUUCCAUCUCAAGAGACCACAAAUUGGGUGUUGGUAUUUCUUAUUAUAAUGUGCAAUAUUCUACAAGCGCACAAAAUGUCACUGUAACAUUUGCACUAGGAGUAUUGUAGGUAUCGUAUUUAUCCUCAGUGAAGUAAUGGUUAAAGAAUAUGAUAGCUAACCACAAUGUAUCUACCGACUAGUUUAGCAACUAAACCAAGUGGUGGCAAGUGAUAUACAAUGAGGUAUUCUGACACACAGAAGAUCACUAGAAAGGUAAAGUGAAAGUGUAGAUAUGUGGGAGGACAACAAGCAAGGGAGUGUAAGAAUCAUAAGUUACUUCAAAUCAAGCACAACUCUAGCAAGGGACUAUAGUGAUAUAGAUAACCAAAAAAUAGUAAGAUAGGAUGCAAUAGCAUUUUAGGGCAUAUCGCACACUAAUUAUCCAAAAUUAUUAAUUAGACUAGGAAUGCAACAAGCCCUAUGUUUUAAUAAUUAACUCUAUCAUGAUGGAAUACAAAGGAUGCACAUGGUUGUCACCACAUGCCAUCUACCAUAAACUAUCUAGAGAGUAGCCAUAAUCCAAGGUGACUAAUAGAGUAAGCACCAAACUUACAUUAUUUGAUACUACCCUAAUCUCACAUUAAAACUAGAGCGCCAACUAGUGAUGAUGAAUCCAUACUAUAAGAGCCAAUUAUAUUAAACAAGGUAGUUUUAAUUUAUAAGUAUCAUCAAAGUAUAACUAGAGUGAAGACUAUAGUACUCAUAGUAACAAGACUUGGAAGAGUAUUCAAAUAUAAAAGG
rnacentral:lncRNA from 1 species